ensembl:rRNA 5S_rRNA 5S ribosomal RNA
GCCAGUAGCCAUAUCACCCUGCAACUCACAACUGGUAACCCACUGAAGCUCAGCAGGUGUGAGCCUGGUCGGUACCUGGAUAGGAGACCUCCUGGGAAAAACUAAGGUUGCUGCUGGAA